ACACCUCAACUCUCGUGGCCUUGCCAUGAUGAGCUUGGACUUUGGGGGUCUUGCUGGCCUAUGGUUGGCUCCUCUCAAAAGAAUUAGCUUGCCAGUGUUUGGUGGCAUCACGGGUGUGAUAACUAUCUACGCUUGUGGUUUUCCAUCAGGUAACCGUAACCUUCAGUGGUGAGGGUUCGCUGGGGCUCAUAAACGUCUCUCCUCGGUGAGGACAGCUCUUUGAAC
rnacentral:misc_RNA from 1 species